rnacentral:rRNA from 1 species
UACAGAGGGUGCAAGCGUUGUUCGGAAUUAUUGGGCGUAAAGCGCGUGUAGGCGGCUUUGCAAGUCGGGUGUGAAAGCCCUCAGCUCAACUGAGGAAGUGCGCCCGAAACUGCAAGGCUUGAGGCCGGGAGGGGGUAGCGGAAUUCCCAAUGUAGCGGUGAAAUGCGUAGAUAUUGGGAGGAACACCAGUGGCGAAGGCGGCUACCUGGACCGGUUCUGACGCUGAGGCGCGAAAGCGUGGGUAGCAAACAGG